rnacentral:misc_RNA from 1 species
AACCAUAGAAACCUGCGGAGUACCUGCGGAAGGAUCAUUACAAGUGACCCCGGUUUACCACCGGGAUGUUCAUAACCCUUUGUUGUCCGACUCUGUUGCCUCCGGGGCGACCCUGCCUUCGGGCGGGGGCUCCGGGUGGACACUUCAAACUCUUGCGUAACUUUGCAGUCUGAGUAAACUUAAUUAAUAAAUUAAAACUUUCAACAAUGGAUCU